AUGCAAGUCGAGCGGUAACAUUUCUAACUUGCUACAAGANGACGAGCGGCGGCACGGGAGAGUAACGCUGGGGAACAUGCCUUUAGGAGGGGGACAACGAGUGGAAACGAUGGCUAAUACCGCAUAAUGUAUACGGAACAGAGGGGGGUUCGGAUCUCGCCUUUAGAUUGGCACAAGAGGGAUUAGAUAGUUGGUGGGGUA
rnacentral:rRNA from 1 species